rnacentral:rRNA from 1 species
GACGGAAGGUGCAAGCGUUGCUCGGAAUCACUGGGCGUAAAGGGGUGCGUAGGCGGCCGUGCAAGUCUGGCGUGAAAGCCCCGGGCUCAGCCCGGGAAGUGCGCUCGAAACUGCGCGGCUCGAGUGCCGGAGGGGAGAGUGGAAUCCUGGUGUAGCGGUGAAAUGCGUAGAUAUCAGGAGGAAUACCGGUGGCGAAAGCGACUCUCUGGACGGUAACUGACGCUGAGGCACGAAAGCGUGGGGAGCAAACAGG